GACGAACGCUGGCGGCGUGCUUAACACAUGCAAGUCGAACGGAAAGGCCCCUUUGGGGGUACUCGAGUGGCGUACGGGUGAGUAACACGUGAGUAACCUGCCCUUGACUUCGGGAUAACUUCAGGAAACUGGGGCUAAUACCGGAUAGGAAUCCUUGCUGCAUGGUGGGGGUUGGAAAGCUUCGGCGGUUUUGGAUGGACUCGCGGCUUAUCAGCUUGUUGGUGGGGUAGUGGCUUACCAAGGCUUUGACGGGUAGCCGGCCUGAGAGGGCGACCGGCCACAUUGGGACUGAGAUACGGCCCAGACUCCUACGGGAGGCAGCAGUGGGGAAUAUUGCACAAUGGGCGGAAGCCUGAUGCAGCAACGCCGCGUGCGGGAUGACGGCCUUCGGGUUGUAAACCGCUUUCAGCAGGGGCGAAGCUUGUGGUGACGGUACCUGCAGAAGAAGCACCGGCUAACUACGUG
rnacentral:rRNA from 1 species